UACGAAGGGAGCUAGCGUUGUUCGGAAUUACUGGGCGUAAAGCGCGCGUAGGCGGCUUUGUAAGUUAGAGGUGAAAGCCCGGAGCUCAACUCCGGAAUUGCCUUUAAGACUGCAUCGCUAGAAUCAUGGAGAGGUUAGUGGAAUUCCGAGUGUAGAGGUGAAAUUCGUAGAUAUUCGGAAGAACACCAGUGGCGAAGGCGACUAACUGGACAUGUAUUGACGCUGAGGUGCGAAAGCGUGGGGAGCAAACAGG
rnacentral:rRNA from 1 species